CUGGACCAGCCUGGUGUGCACAAUAAAUU
rnacentral:piRNA from 1 species